UAAAGAGCUGGCACAUUACUCCCCACAGGUGGCUGCAUUUUAGCGGCUGGGUGAAGUGAGUCUAUUUCAUCUUUCAGCCAAAGUGAGUACUAAACAUAACAUAGGGCUCCUCUAUUUCCACAGGCUAUUAACCUUCCAAAACAUUCACCUCGGAGGCUAAACUUCGCAGUACUUCAACUUCGAUUCUGAGAAAUGUCUCUAUUCCAGAAUGACACAUUAAGUGAGAGUGAAUUAAGUCCCCGUGCAACAAAUGUCAUGCUUCAAAUAAAAUUGGUACAUUAACUUGGAAGAGGAGAGAAAAGGACAGUGGAGGAAGGAAGCUGAGCAGAGAGAUGAAGCUAAGCAACAUCUGAAAGGUAGCUGACCAGUGCAAUGGAUGUUUUAGACUCAACAAAUACCCUGUUAAGCUAGAUUCCUAACAUAGCCAUGGAUUUUCAUUUCUGUUCUGAAAGAAUUUGGAUCUGAUGUAACCCAGGUGUUAUUCAUGAAGAAUAUAUUCAUAAAAGUAUUAGUCCUGCCAGAAACAUUCCAGCCCAUCAAAAGAGAAUAGAAAAACUUGCUGAACUCUGGAAGACAGUGGUUAUAUGGAGAAGAAAAGGUAAGAGUAAUUUCUAUGCAUUUCUUAAGGUAUAUCUAUUUGAAGCCUGGCAUAAUUUUUUUAAUGAUAGAGGUUUUUAGGUACAUAGUCUAGAUGCAUAGGUUUUUUUUACAGAUCAUAUCAAUGAUAUAGGGAAG
rnacentral:lncRNA from 1 species